UUUGGCCUACGGGGCGCAGCAGUAGGGAAUCUUCGGCAAUGGGCGAAAGCCUGACCGAGCAACGCCGCGUGAAUGAAGAAGGCCUUCGGGUUGUAAAAUUCUGUUAUAAGGGAAGAAAGGUGAUAGGAGGAAAUGACUAUCAAUUGACGGUACCUUAUGAGAAAGCCACGGCUAACUACGUGCCAGCAGCCGCGGUAAUACGUAGGUGGCAAGCGUUAUCCGGAAUUAUUGGGCGUAAAGAUCGCGCAGGAGGUUAAUUAAGUCUGAUGUGAUAGCCCACGGCUUAACCG
rnacentral:rRNA from 1 species